rnacentral:rRNA from 1 species
AUGGUCUCGGAACAGCUUCGUGCAUAUGAAUGGAAGCAAAGCAAGAAGAAGCUGAGGUUUGAAAGUGACCCAAAAGAGUGUGCGGAGAAGGAGAAGCAGAGGAGAGCUGUAGAUGGUGCCAAGGGUGCCAAAUUUUUCAAAGUGAAGCAGCCUGCUUUGCAGAAGAAGAGGAUGAGUUAUGUUGUUGUGGAAAGUGGUACUCCUCCGCGGAGUCCACAUGUUGCUGGCAUGAACAAGAAUCUUGGCAAGAGAACUGCUGAAGCUGGUGGAAAGGAUCCUCAGCGCAAGAGAAUACAUGUCAGUGAAGGUCCCGACUCCGAUGAUUACAACUUUGUGCUUGCUUAUUUUGUGAGGGAUGUUCAUACUAUUAGAUGCAAAGACUGUGAUUCAUCU